rnacentral:lncRNA from 10 species
CCAAGGGGUGCAAUAACCCUGUGUACACGACCCCUUGCUGGAUGCCUGGGUUUACUCUUGAGGUCACUAUGGGAUGACUUCUGAUAUUCACAGUAGCAAACUGAUCAGUUCUUGCAGCAAUACGGCAGAUACCAGUGCUUCAACCAGAGGAACUGCCAACUCUAGAGCAAGUUAAUGCCACCCAACAUCAAGGAUAUCUACAUUGGUGUUUUCUCCUUGUGGGAGAGAAUGCUGUGGUCUUCCACUAUCAUUUUUUUCUUAUUGAAAAUCUUAAAUUUUUAGCUAGACUUAUUGCCAUCCAGUGAAAAGAUCCUACUUCCCAGUAGUCCUUGCAGCUACAAGCAGCUGUGAAAGUGUGAUGGUUGGAGCUCCAGCAGCCCUCCUAGACCAUGAGCUGGCCUUGAGAAUGGAAGUCACCUACUGAGAAUGACACAGUCUUGCUCCAUAAUGACACCAAGGAACCACCACACAAGACACCGAAAGCCAGAGAAGUCGGGUAUUCAGAUUCCAAAUCAUUGUGCUGAGGCAAUCCUGCCUUCGGCUGAAGAAAUAGGGAGCGGGGACAAUGCGUCAGGACGGCCUCUUUUUACUCAGCGUGAGCUUUGUUACUCACCCGAGGUGUUCUACCUUGAAUCAUGGCUUUUGUGAGGAAAACCAGGAUCAUGCAGAAGGAUGAAGUGCUAUUUCCUCAGUGGCACCUUCAGUGCUACUGACACUUUCAAGAAUAUGCGUGUCUAUGCAGCAGAAACAGACACCCUGAGAUGCUGGAUUUGAGAUAAUUCACUGAGUUUUAUCAACAUAUGUGAACACACAGAUUUUCAGCUAAUAUUAGAAGUUGAGAUGAGACUGAUUAACGUGACUCCUAGGCAGGCCUCAUCAUAUCUCCUAAAAGAAGUGCAAGCAUCCUAUUUGAAUACAUACCCUGGCCCUCCUCCUUUUUCCCUUGAGUUCCCUCUUGAGGUUAAUAAAACUUGAUGUAUGAGAUGACGUUGAGUGUCCCAGGCCCAAAGAAGUUCAGGAUGAGUACAAACAUGUGCAUACCGUGGUUAGAAGAUAAGAUUGCUUGGAGUUCUUUGCUUCAUUCUGACCACGUGCAGAUCAGCAUAGAUGGUGAGUGAGGAAAAGCUCUUCCUGUGGACACUUCUGAAUAAGUUCUAAUAACUUGACUAAAAUUUAUUCCAGAAAUAAAAUAUUCAGAGUGCUCAAUUAGAAAUAAAAAACUGGGCUCUGGCUUGAGAUGGUGUUGGUGGGUGAGGAUUCAGCAUUGCAGGUAGACUAUGGGACUGAGGGAUCAAGAUCAGGCAUUCCCAUGAGGAGAUACCAAAGUCAAGCCCAGUCAAGAGCUGUCAAUUCAAAGUCCAGGGGGAAACCAAGGUCAAGGACUAUGCACUACAGUCAGCAUCAAUGCCAGCACACAACAGAGAGUAAAGCAAGCGGAGAGCCUUCGGCUGGAAGUAUCUAAAGGCCAGAUGACUGGUGUAAUUUUCAGAAUUUUUUUGGCUGAAAAUUACAGAAAAUCCAACCCAAAAUGACUUAAUCAGGAAGAAAUUUGGUAGAUUACAAAACUGAAAAGUUCAGGGGGUUGGAUUAUUUCCAGGUAUGGUUUGAUACAGAGAUUGAACAAUGUCAGCAGAACCCAGUUUUCUCUGUCUCUUUCAG